AUUGAACGCUGGCGGCAGGCCUAACACAUGCAAGUCGAGCGAGCGGCGGACGGGUGAGUAAUGUAUGGGGACUGCCCGAUAGAGGGGGAUAACUACUGGAAACGGUAGCUAAUACCGCAUACUAUCGGAUAACCCAUAUGGGAUUAGCUAGUUGGUGAGGUAAAGGCCCACCAAACCGACGAUCUCUAGCUGGUCUGACAGGGUGACCGGCCACACUGGGACUGAGACACGGCCCAGACUCCUACGGGGGCAGCAGUGGGGAAUAUUGGGCAAUGGGGGCAACCCUGACGCAGCCAUGCCGCGUGAGUGAAGAAGGCCUUCGGGUUGUAAAGUUCUGUCGGUAGCGAGGCGUUAACUACAGAGAAAGCACCGGCUAACUCCGUGCCAGCAGCCGCGGUAAUUC
rnacentral:rRNA from 1 species